UACGUGUGAGGCAAGCGUUUAUUCGUCAUUAAUGGGUCUAAAAGGGUAUGUAGGCGGUAUAGUAAAUUUAUUUUUAAUUGCAUAUAAGAAUGGUGAUAGUAUUACUAGACUAGAGUAAAGAAGAAGUAACAAACUCUCAUAGUACAGGGUUAAAAAUAUUACACUUUGUGGGUUGCGAAGAGGCGAAGGCAUGUUACUAUGUAAAACUGACGCUGAGAUACGAAGGCGUGGGUAUCGAUCGGG
rnacentral:rRNA from 1 species